rnacentral:rRNA from 1 species
UACGUAGGGUGCGAGCGUUGUCCGGAAUUAUUGGGCGUAAAGGGCUCGUAGGCGGUCCAUCGCGUCGGGAGUGAAAAGCUGGGGCUUAACCCCAGUCCUGCUUUCGAUACGGGUGGACUAGAGGUAUGCAGGGGAGAAUGGAAUUCCUGGUGUAGCGGUGAAAUGCGCAGAUAUCAGGAGGAACACCGAUGGCGAAGGCAGCUCGCUGGGACGGUACUGACGCUGAGACGCGAAAGCGUGGGGAGCAAACAGG